CAGGAUUAGAUACCCUGGUAGUCCACACUGUAAACGAUGAUAACUCGCUGCCGGCGAUAUACAGUCAGUGGCAGAGCGAAAGCAUUAAGUUAUCCACCUGGGGAGUACGCCGGCAACGGUGAAACUCAAAGGAAUUGACGGGGGCCCGCACAAGCGGAGGAACAUGUGGUUUAAUUCGAUGAUACGCGAGGAACCUUACCCGGGCUUGAAUUGCAGAGGAAUGUCGUGGAAACAUGGCAGCUAGUAAUAGUCUCUGUGAAGGUGCUGCAUGGUUGUCGUCAGCUCGUGCCGUGAGGUGUCGGCUUAAGUGCCAUAACGAGCGCAACCCUCAUAUUCAGUUACUAACAGGUUAAGCUGAGGACUCUGGAUAGACUGCCGUCGUAAGAUGUGAGGAAGGUGGGGAUGACGUCAAAUCAGCACGGCCCUUACGUCCGGGGCGACACACGUGUUACAAUGGGGGGUACAGAAGGUUGCUACACAGCGAUGUGAUGCUAAUCCCAAAAGCCUCUCUCAGUUCGGAUCGAAGUCUGCAACCCGACUUCGUGAAGCUG
rnacentral:rRNA from 1 species